CCUACGGGGUGCAGCAGUAGGGAAUUUUCGGCAAUGGGGGGAACCCUGACCGAGCAACGCCGCGUGAACGAAGAAGUUAUUCGUAAUGUAAAGUUCUUUUAACAGGGAAGAAAGAGAAAUUUGACGGUACCUGAAGAAUAAGCUCCGGCUAAAUACGUGCCAGCAGCCGCGGUAAUACGUAGGGAGCGAGCGUUAUCCGGAAUUAUUGGGCUUAAAGGGUGCGUAGAUGGCAUAGUAAGUCUUUUGUAAAAAUGCUGGGCUCAACCCAGUAGGGCAAAAGAUACUGCAAAGCUAGAGUAUGACAGAGGCAAGGGGAACUACAUGGGUAGCGGGAAAAUGCGGAAAAAAAGGUAAGAACACCAGGGGCGAAGGCGGCUCGCUGGGUCGAUACUGACAGUGAGGCACGAAAGCGUGGGGAGCAAACAGGAUUAGAUACCCUUGUAGUC
rnacentral:rRNA from 1 species